rnacentral:rRNA from 1 species
CCUACGGGCGGCAGCAGUGGGGAAUAUUGCACAAUGGGCGCAAGCCUGAUGCAGCCAUGCCGCGUGUGUGAAGAAGGCCUUCGGGUUGUAAAGCACUUUCAGCGGGGAGGAAGGCGUUAAGGUUAAUAACCUUGGCGAUUGACGUUACCCGCAGAAGAAGCACCGGCUAACUCCGUGCCAGCAGCCGCGGUAAUACGGAGGGUGCAGGCGUUAAUCGGAAUUACUGGGCGUAAAGCGCACGCAGGCGGUCUGUCAAGUCGGAUGUGAAAUCCCCGGGCUCAACCUGGGAACUGCAUUCGAAACUGGCAGGCUAGAGUCUUGUAGAGGGGGUAGAAUUCCAGGUGUAGCGGUGAAAUGCGUAGAGAUCUGGAGGAAUACCGGUGGCGAAGGCGGCCCCCUGGACAAAGACUGACGCUCAGGUGCGAAAGCGUGGGGAGCAAACAGGAUUAGAUACCCCUGUAGUC